CCAGCAGCUGCGGUAAUUCCAGCUCCAAUAGCGUAUAUUAAAGUUGUUGCAGUUAAAACGCUCGUAGUCUGAUGUAAUGGGGACUGGAGUGGGGAGCAGCGAUGCUCUUUGCUUUGGUCCUCAUCAGGGGGACAGCAAUGUCCCAGUUUACUUUGAGGAAAUUAGAGUGUUCAAAGCAGGCGAUUGCUUGAAUACUGCAGCAUGGAAUAAUGGAAUAGGACUCGCGUCUUAUUUUGUUGGUUUGGAGAUGUGAGUAAUGAUGAAUAGGGACAGUUGGGGGCAUUGGUAUUCAGUAGUCAGAGGUGAAAUUCUCGGAUUCGCUGAAGACUAACUUAUGCGAAAGCAUUCAC
rnacentral:rRNA from 1 species